rnacentral:rRNA from 1 species
UACGAAGGGGGCUAGCGUUGUUCGGAAUUACUGGGCGUAAAGCGCACGUAGGCGGCCUAUUAAGUCAGGGGUGAAAUCCCGGGGCUCAACCCCGGAACUGCCUUUGAUACUGGUAGUCUCGAGUCCGGAAGGGGUGAGUGGAAUUCCGAGUGUAGAGGUGAAAUUCGUAGAUAUUCGGAGGAACACCAGUGGCGAAGGCGGCUCACUGGUCCGGUACUGACGCUGAGGUGCGAAAGCGUGGGGAGCAAACAGG